ACUAAAAAGUUAAUUGUGAGAUUCAAUUUAAUUUGAAUUUAAAAAAUUAUUUAUUUUUUUGAAAAUAAAAUAUUUUUUUUAUUUAUUAAAUUUUAUUGAAAAAUAUAUUUUUAUUAUAGUUUAUUAGUAUAGUGAUAGAAAUUAAAUUAUUUAAAUGUUUUAAAGAAAAAUUUAAUUUUUGUACCUUGUGUAUCAGGGUUUAUUAAAAAUAAGUUUUAUAUUAAAUUUUCUCGAUUUAAAAAGAGUUAAUAAAUUAUAUAUUUUAAUGUAAAAUAAUUAUUUUAAAUAAUUUAUUAGUAAUGAAACGUUAUUCGUUUUUUAAUAUAUCUAGUUUUUUAAGAAAUAAAUUUAAUUUAUAAAUUAUAAUAUAAAUAAAUUAAUAAUUAUUUAUUUAUUUAUAAUUUUUAAUAUUAUAAGGGAUAAGCUUUAUAAUAAAUUAUUAUAAUUUAUUUGAAUAUAAAAUUUUUUGUAGAAUUAGAAAUUUUUAUCAUUAAUAGUUUGUUAAAAUUAUAUUUAAAUUAAAUAUUAUUUAUAUUAAAUUUAAUUUUUUUAUUAAAAUAAUUUAUUUAAUUAUAUAUUAAAUGUAAUAAUGAUAAAAUUAGUAUUAAUUUUUGUAAAAUUAAUUAUUUUCUUUAGGUAUUUUAAAGGAAUUCGGCAAAUGUAUUAUUCGCCUGUUUAUUAAAAACAUGUCUUUUUGAUAAUAAUUUAAAGUCUAACCUGCCCUAUGAAUUUUAAAUGGCCGCAGUAUUUUAACUGUGCAAAGGUAGCAUAAUAAUUAGUUUCUUAAUUAGAAACUGGAAUGAAUGGUUGGACGAGAUAAUAACUGUCUCUAUUUUAAUUUUAAAGAAUUUUAUAUUUAAGUUAAAAAGCUUAAAUUGUUUUAAAAGACGAGAAGACCCUAUAGAGUUUUAUAAAUUUAUUAAAUUAUUUUUUUUUAGAAUUAAUUAAUUUAGUUUUUUGGAUUUAUUUGAUUGGGGUGAUUAAAAAAUUUAAUUAACUUUUUUUAUAUUUUAACAUUUAUUUAUGUUUAAUUGAUCCAUUAUUUAUGAUUAAAAGAUUAAAUUACCUUAGGGAUAACAGCGUAAUUUUUUUUUAGAGUUCAUAUUAAAAAAAAAGAUUGCGACCUCGAUGUUGGAUUAAAAUUUAUUUUUGGUGUAGCAGCUAAAUAUAUUAAGUCUGUUCGACUUUUAAAAUUUUACAUGAUCUGAGUUUAAACCGGUGUGAGCCAGGUUGGUUUCUAUCUUUAAAUAAUUAUAAUACUUUAGUACGAAAGGACCAAGUAUUAGUAAAAUUUACUUUAUUAGAAUACUUAUAAUUAAUAUUACUUUGGUAGAAUAGUACAUUAAAUUUAGAAUUUAAUUAAAUAAUAU
rnacentral:rRNA from 1 species